rnacentral:rRNA from 1 species
GACGAACGCUGGCGGCGUGCUUAACACAUGCAAGUCGAACGGAAAGGCCCUGCUUGCAGGGUACUCGAGUGGCGAACGGGUGAGUAACACGUGGGUGAUCUGCCCUGCACUUCGGGAUAAGCUUGGGAAACUGGGUCUAAUACCGGAUAGGAGCCAUCUUUAGUGUGGUGGUUGGAAAGUUUUUUCGGUGUAGGAUGAGCUCGCGGCCUAUCAGCUUGUUGGUGGGGUAAUGGCCUACCAAGGCGGCGACGGGUAGCCGGCCUGAGAGGGUGUACGGCCACAUUGGGACUGAGAUACGGCCCAGACUCCUACGGGAGGCAGCAGUGGGGAAUAUUGCACAAUGGGCGCAAGCCUGAUGCAGCGACGCCGCGUGGGGGAUGAAGGCCUUCGGGUUGUAAACUCCUUUCGCUAGGGACGAAGCUUUGUUGUGACGGUACCUAGAUAAGAAGCACCGGCUAAUUACGUG